rnacentral:rRNA from 1 species
CGGCGUGCCUAAUACAUGCAAGUCGAGCGAACAGAAGGGAGCUUGCUCCCGGAUGUUAGCGGCGGACGGGUGAGUAACACGUGGGUAACCUGCCUGUAAGACUGGGAUAACUCCGGGAAACCGGAGCUAAUACCGGAUAGUUCCUUGAACCGCAUGGUUCAAGGAUGAAAGACGGUUUCGGCUGUCACUUACAGAUGGACCCGCGGCGCAUUAGCUAGUUGGUGGGGUAAUGGCUCACCAAGGCGACGAUGCGUAGCCGACCUGAGAGGGUGAUCGGCCACACUGGGACUGAGACACGGCCCAGACUCCUACGGGAGGCAGCAGUAGGGAAUCUUCCGCAAUGGACGAAAGUCUGACGGAGCAACGCCGCGUGAGUGAUGAAGGUUUUCGGAUCGUAAAGCUCUGUUGUUAGGGAAGAACAAGUGCGAGAGUAACUGCUCGCACCUUGACGGUACCUAACCAGAAAGCCACGGCUAACUACGUGCCAGCAGCCGCGGUAAUACGUAGGUGGCAAGCGUUGUCCGGAAUUAUUGGGCGUAAAGGGCUCGCAGGCGGUUUCUUAAGUCUGAUGUGAAAGCCCCCGGCUCAACCGGGGAGGGUCAUUGGAAACUGGGAAACUUGAGUGCAGAAGAGGAGAGUGGAAUUCCACGUGUAGCGGUGAAAUGCGUAGAGAUGUGGAGGAACACCAGUGGCGAAGGCGACUCUCUGGUCUGUAACUGACGCUGAGGAGCGAAAGCGUGGGGAGCGAACAGGAUUAGAUACCCUGGUAGUCCACGCCGUAAACGAUGAGUGCUAAGUGUUAGGGGGUUUCCGCCCCUUAGUGCUGCAGCUAACGCAUUAAGCACUCC